AUGACCACCAAGAGAAGGUUGUACGUGGCUGUAAGGAAGGGCGAAGAGGAUGGCAGUGGCAGAGGAGGAAGGAAGCUGUAUGUGGCCAUCGGAAAGGAUGAAGAGGACAGCAGGUCCAACCUCCUGUGGGCCGCUCGGAACCUCCUCGGCAGCGGCGACAAGCUCGUCCUGCUGCAUGUCCACAAGCCUGCCAACAAAAUUAUAACUGGAUUACGCAAGGUUGAUGCAAGCCAGCUGCAGGAGAGGGAGCUCCAGGCAUAUAGGAAGUCUGAGAAGGAGGAGAUGAACACAAUUUUAGACCGGUACCUCGAUUUCUGCAUAUCUUAUCUCAAGUCUCAAGCUGAAGCGAUGGUGGUCGAGAGUAACAGCCCUGCCUGUGGCAUUGUCAAGCUGAUUGAUCAGAGUCACAUCAAAAACCUUGUCAUGGGAACAUCUUCCUUCUCACCGAAGAGGAAAGUACCAAAAUCAAAAGUCGCAGCCAUCGUGCAUCUACAGGCUAAACCAUAUUGCCAGAUCUUCUAUAUUUGCAACGAAACUCUUGCUUGUUCUAGGGAGGCCACUCAGCUUUCUACAAAAGUAGAGUCACCCCGAAGCAGCUGCACCAGCACUGAUUCGCGACCCGAGUUCCCUAAAAGAUGCCAAUCACUAUCACCAGGGUACACAGGUUUCUUAGGCUCCACAGGUCAACAAGCCCAUCAACGGCGGUCCAAGCAGCCAGUUAGCUAUACACAUCCCUUGUUAGGAUCGACAACAGACAGCACAGAAAACAUAUCAGGUGCUAGGCAGGGGCCAAUUGAUAUGAGACUAACAGGUUUCUCCAUAAAUUCCUGCCAGCAAAGCACUGGAGGAUCCUCAUUGGCUCUGCAGGAUUUAAAUACUAUGAAUGGUUCACCAGUACAUGUUUCGAUUGCAAGCUCUAAAGAACAUCGACACUCUAUGGUAAAAACGGGUGUGCAGCUUGAUGUGUUUGAGCAACUACACCGAGUCCGCAAUGAACUGGAUUUCUCGAAAAAAGAAGCAUCCGAGGGCCAGCAGAAAGCCGUGAGGAAUCUGUUUGAAGCUUCUAUGAUGUGCAAAGCACAGGAGAAUUCACCCCGUAAAGAGAAAAAUGAGCGAGAGGAAAGACUGGCCAGAGAAAAGGCCGGACUCAAAAAGGAACACCUUCAUUUAUACAACGAGCUGUAG
rnacentral:rRNA from 1 species